CUCAGGACGAACGCUGGCGGCGUGCUUAACACAUGCAAGUCGAACGAUGAAGCCUUUCGGGGUGGAUUAGUGGCGAACGGGUGAGUAACACGUGGGCAAUCUGCCCUUCACUCUGGGACAAGCCCUGGAAACGGGGUCUAAUACCGGAUAACACUCUGUCCCGCAUGGGACGGGGUUAAAAGCUCCGGCGGUGAAGGAUGAGCCCGCGGCCUAUCAGCUUGUUGGUGGGGUAAUGGCCUACCAAGGCGACGACGGGUAGCCGGCCUGAGAGGGCGACCGGCCACACUGGGACUGAGACACGGCCCAGACUCCUACGGGAGGCAGCAGUGGGGAAUAUUGCACAAUGGGCGAAAGCCUGAUGCAGCGACGCCGCGUGAGGGAUGACGGCCUUCGGGUUGUAAACCUCUUUCAGCAGGGAAGAAGCGAAAGUGACGGUACCUGCAGAAGAAGCGCCGGCUAACUACGUGCCAGCAGCCGCGGUAAUACGUAGGGCGCAAGCGUUGUCCGGAAUUAUUGGGCGUAAAGAGCUCGUAGGCGGCUUGUCACGUCGGAUGUGAAAGCCCGGGGCUUAACCCCGGGUCUGCAUUCGAUACGGGCUAGCUAGAGUGUGGUAGGGGAGAUCGGAAUUCCUGGUGUAGCGGUGAAAUGCGCAGAUAUCAGGAGGAACACCGGUGGCGAAGGCGGAUCUCUGGGCCAUUACUGACGCUGAGGAGCGAAAGCGUGGGGAGCGAACAGGAUUAGAUACCCUGGUAGUCCACGCCGUAAACGUUGGGAACUAGGUGUUGGCGACAUUCCACGUCGUCGGUGCCGCAGCUAACGCAUUAAGUUC
rnacentral:rRNA from 1 species